CCAACCUUGGUUUUAUACCGGUUUGGACUGCCCACACUCCAGCACAGCAGGUGAUGGUAAGCACCUUUUCAGGUCAUUUACAAACUGCCAAUACAAUCAUAGAAGUAGAAAAAUAAGAAAUGGACUACUUUAUUAAAUUAAAGGUAUUCCUCAAUGGCACUGCGCAUUCUGUCACAGAGGUGGCCAUUGCAAAGCAAUGCUGUCAACAUGUUUGCCACAGCAGAGGGCCUCCUGACCCAACAGGACCUCGUCAACAAAGACUGACUACAGGAAGUGUUUGUCACAAACCUCUUUGGUCAUUUCAUGCUGCACUCGCUGUUUGUGCAAAAACCGGAGUCCCUGGAUCCAAGAGCAAAGUACCACAGUUUGACGUCAGGCAUAGGGAGCAACUACACGCAACCUCGACAAAUGGACGUUGAUGACGACGUGUCAGAGGCCCUGUAUGUGAAACUGCUGGAAAUGGAAAAAGCUAUUCAUAAGAGAUUAAAAGAGGAGGAUGAUAAACAAGCUUACAAAAAGUACCUCCACCAGACAGAGUCGUCUUUUGUCCGGCUAUUCUCCUCGACUGACCUAGUUUAAAACCACUUGACUUUUAUUCUAUAAGAUAGAAUCUAUAUGGAUGAAACGGUUUUACUCACAAUGUGAAUGGAAGGAAACCGUGUGCUCUGUAUAAAUUGACCAUCGCCAUGAGGCACUACACUCUCAUUGUCUUACGUCAGAUGGCGUCACUACUACGCAACGCUUGUCACCUCAACCAAUCAGUGCAGGUGGAAUCGUGGCGCUAUCUGACGUAAGACAAUGGAGGAACCCUCUAACACAGAUCACAUGGGUCUCUUUCAGGUUCCAAAUAACACCUAUACUGAAACGCUAUUAAAAUGGAAUUCAAUGGGGGACAUUUGUUAUCGUCACUUUGAAAGGGACUAGGCUGUAAAUUCCUGCUGCUAACUCAUUGAUCUAAAUGUGGUGGCUCUAUACUAUGAAGACCUUUUGUGAAUUAUAAAGCGCAGAUGGUAAUAACUUGACCAAAAUUAGAUAAAUGAUGUAAAAGCAUUCAUUUUCUGUGAGUGUUAGGUUCACAGGUGCUGCCUUAUGGUAAGAUGAAGAGCUAUUUGUGAGUUGUUGAAUUUUAAUUAAAAUAUACGU